UGGGGAAUUUUGGACAAUGGGCGAAAGCCUGAUCCAGCAAUGCCGCGUGUGUGAAGAAGGCCUUCGGGUUGUAAAGCACUUUUGUCCGGAAAGAAAUCCUUGGCUCUAAUACAGUCGGGGGAUGACGGUACCGGAAGAAUAAGCACCGGCUAACUACGUGCCAGCGGCCGCGGUAAUACGUAGGGUGCAAGCGUUAAUCGGAAUUACUGGGCGUAAAGCGUGCGCAGGCGGUUUGCUAAGACCGAUGUGAAAUCCCCGGGCUCAACCUGGGAACUGCAUUGGUGANUGGCAGGCUAGAGUAUGGCAGAGGGGGGUAGAAUUCCACGUNUAGCAGUGAAAUGCGUAGAGAUGUGGAGGAAUACCGAUGGCGAAGGCAGCCCCCUGGGCAAUACUGACGCUCAUGCACGAAAAGCGUGGGGAGCAAACAGGAUUAGAUACCCUGGUAGUCCACGCCCUAAAACGAUGUCAACUAGUUGUUGGGGAUUCAUUUCCUUAGUAACGUAGCUAACGCGUGAAGUUGACCGCCUGGGGGAGUACGGUCGCAAGAUUAAAAACUUAAAUG
rnacentral:rRNA from 1 species